rnacentral:rRNA from 1 species
GACAGAGGUGGCAAGCGUUGUUCGGAUUCAUUGGGUGUAAAGGGCAGGUAGGUGGUUACGUAAGUCUGGUGUGAAAUCCCACGGCUCAACCGUGGAACGGCAUUGGAAACUGCGUGACUUGAGUACUGGAGAGGUGUGGGGAAUUCUCGGUGUAAGGGUGAAAUCUGUAGAUAUCGAGAGGAACACCAGUGGCGAAGGCGCCACACUGGCCGGUUACUGACACUGAGCUGCGAAAGCUAGGAGAGCAAAC